rnacentral:rRNA from 1 species
GACGAACGCUGGCGGCGUGCUUUAUACAUGCAAGUCGAACGAUGAAGUUCCUUCGGGAAUGGAUUAGUGGCGAACGGGUGAGGAACACGUGAGAAACCUGCCUUUCAUUCUGGGAUAACACCGGGAAACCGGUGCUAAUACCGGAUACUCCGUCUUGACGGCAUCGCCGAGCCGGGAAAAAAUUUUGAUGAAAGAUGGUCUCGCGGCCUAUCAGCUAGUUGGUGAGGUAAAGGCUCACCAAGGCGACGACGGGUAGCCGGCCUGAGAGGGCGACCGGCCACACUGGGACUGAGACACGGCCCAGACUCCUACGGGAGGCAGCAGUAGGGAAUAUUGGGCAAUGGGCGCAAGCCUGACCCAGCGACGCCGCGUGAGGGAUGAAGGUCUUCGGAUUGUAAACCUCUUUCAGUAGGGAAGAAGCGAAAGUGACGGUACCUAAAGAAGAAGCACCGGCUAACUAUGUGCCAGCCGCCGCUGUAA